GACGUAGGGUGCAAGCGUUGUCCGGAUUUACUGGGCGUAAAGAGCGCGUAGGCGGUCUGUUAAGUGAGAAGUGAAAGCUCUGGGCUCAACCCAAAAAUUGCUUUUCAUACUGGCAGACUGGAGUGAUGCAGAGGUUUGUGGAAUUCCUGGUGUAGCGGUGAAAUGCGUUGAUAUCAGGAGGAACACCGAUGGCGAAGGCAGCAAACUGGGCAUUAACUGACGCUGAGGCGCGAAAGCGUGGGGAGCGAACAGG
rnacentral:rRNA from 1 species